rnacentral:rRNA from 1 species
GACGAACGCUGGCGGCGUGCUUAACACAUGCAAGUCGAGCGGAAAGGCCCUUCGGGGUACUCGAGCGGCGAACGGGUGAGUAACACGUGAGUAAUCUGCCCUUGGCUUUGGGAUAACUACCGGAAACGGUGGCUAAUACCGGAUACGACAACCGCAUGCAUGUGCUGGUUGUGGAAAGUUUUUUCGGCCAGGGAUGUGCUCGCGGCCUAUCAGCUUGUUGGUGGGGUAAUGGCCUACCAAGGCUUCGACGGGUAGCCGGCCUGAGAGGGUGACCGGCCACACUGGGACUGAGACACGGCCCAGACUCCUACGGGAGGCAGCAGUGGGGAAUAUUGCACAAUGGGCGCAAGCCUGAUGCAGCGACGCCGCGUGAGGGAUGACGGCCUUCGGGUUGUAAACCUCUUUCAGCACAGACGAAGCGCAAGUGACGGUACCUGCAGAAGAAGCACCGGCCAACUACGUGCCAGCAGCCGCAGUAACAC